UACAACACUACAGAGUUGGCUUUCACAUUGGCAUGGAUUCUGGCUAAAUAACUCAGGUUGCCAGGCUUUUGUGCCAAAUGCCCUUUUAGGCCGAGACAUUAUCCCAGAUCCCAAGUUUAGUUUACACUAUGAGAAUGCCACCAUAUUUUUUUUCUUUUACGUAUAAAUAGUUCUGUGUAACAUUCAAAAUGGUUUUGUUCAUUGUGCUCUUUUCAAAAUGAAGCCUCUGGCAUUUGCAUUUACCUCUUGUAUACCUCCUUUGAGACAGAAAUGUGCUAUGAGGGAAAGCUUGUAUCAGAGUUCCCAGGAAGCUUCCUGAAUGCCAUCACCCUACUCUGUAAGUACUGCUAUACACAACCACAUUCAGCCUUCUUCUUCAAGAAUCCAGUCUUACACUCUUAUAUAAAUAUUUACAAUACGUCAACUACCCAGAAAGAAUAACACAGACAGAGUCCAUCCUUGCAGGUUAAGUUACUUUAUUUUAAAAACUGGAAAGGGUGAUAAAGAAGCUGUAUUUAGAAGGGGAUUGACAUUUAUUUUGAUGCUUUAAAAUGUAAAAAUUAGUCUCUUUCUAGUAUCCUUGAUUGACACUGUUCUUGUGUUUACAGAGCAGUCUAAACUUGAAAAAUCACAAAAGAAAUGUGAUAACUGUUCAGAUCUUUCAAUAUCUGGCUCCAGUAAACAAGAGCUUGAAGGGCCACCUAAGCCUGGAAAUGUAGCCAAGAAAGGUAUUGAUGAUCCAAACAGUCUGAACUCUUUGACAUCUCCCAUAAGGAAGCCUAUACUAAAAGGGCAGUCUAAAACUAGAGCAUUAGACGAGAAAGAUUUUGACCGUCCACAUACUCUGGUUCUUUCAUUAUCUGCAUUCAGUAAACAAGAGCUUGAAGGGCCACCUAAGCCUGGAAAUGUAGCCAAGAAAGGUUUUGAUGACCAAAAAGUCUGA
rnacentral:lncRNA from 1 species